ensembl:lncRNA
AUGACAGCUUCUUUGCAAAUAUUAAUGGAAUACCAUAUGGAAAAUGCUUAGCAAUGCUUGAAAUAUAAUAUACCUGCAGUAAAUAGUAGUUAGGAGAAAAAAGAAAGGUAGCUCUUAUUGUGUGACUUAUGUUUUAUAUCAACAUGUGUUCCCUAGAAUUCCUGGUGUUUCCACAAUGCCUCUAAAAGAACCAUAACUUCUGCUGUUAGAAUAUAUUCAAAUUCUUUAAGAAUGAAAUAAUGUACAAAUGUUUUAUGUACUGUGUUAUAGCUUUUCCCUUUGUUUGUUAUUUGUUUCUUCUGUAGGAAAACUGAUGGAAAUGCAAAAGGAAUGUAUAGAUGAUUAAUUUCAAAAACCUAGGGAAGCCUGAGGUUUAAAUUCAGUCUAGAUUUACUUUCUUCUGCAAACUUUGGAAGGAAAUGAUGUCACCACUUGGAGUAUGAGAAAGUAGGAUGCUCUUAUCUGAACUGUGGAUGAUGAGACAGGAGCAAAUCCACAUCUGUAGGUCUUAUACAAUGGCUGUCCAUCCUCAGAGCUGAAAUCCUACCCAUCAUUCAGGCUUAUUCAACAAUUUAUUUACAGUUUCUAAAUUUAUUGAAAUCUGUUCAACUGUUUUCAGGCAACAAACAGAUGGAGUUUAGGAUUGGUGAAUUCAAAUCAUCAAGCUCACAAACUGGGAGAAGAUGGACUGGGUCUAAGAACAGACUGCAUUGUUGAAGACAAAAUGAAAGGGUAACCUUUAUACACCAGCAUUUCACUGCUAGGAAGUUCCAAACUGAUGAAAACAGUUGGCUGUCCAUCUGGAAAAGGAGCAGCAUGCCUCUGUCUUGCAUGGAGCCAGUCAACUGCAGACCCAGAGCCCUUCAGUAGCUUCCUGCCUCCUUCCAAGUCAUGGAGACUUACUGACUUCAGAGUGAUUCCGUAAAACUAUUCUGAAGUCAAUGAACCUAAGGGUCUAAAUAGUCAAAUAACAGAGAAGGUUCUGUAAGUGGUUCUUUGCCAUGUGCUUCAAGAGAUAAUAAGACAUCAGUCUUCAGAUGGUUUCCCAAUGACCUAGCAUGGUAUGUCUGCAGUAUCUCCAUCAUACAUGAGUGGCAGCCUCUCUGAAGACUAGACUGGAAAGCAAAGGUUAAGAAGAUCACAUCAGGAGCCAAACAUUCUUGGAAGCUGAUGCUUCUCUACAGACUAUUGAUAUUCAAAUCCCACCAAGUGUGUGCCCUAUUUUAACUGGACCACCUCAGUUAAUGAAUGCAUCUGUUAACUUAUUUAGGAGUGGGUUUUCUUUGAACUAUGACAGAUUCAAUUUCCCCCGAGGUGUACCAUUCCAAGAUCAAUGAAGACCUGUGACUUAUAUUUAUAUGCAAUUCAGUGGGAGAGAAAGGGAUUUGUGAAUUCUUGCGCCUAGGGAUAUAAUAUUAGCUACCUUCAACUCAUUAAUUAAUUAUUGCCAUUAAAUGAAUGCUUACUUCUUGCAGGAUACUAAUCUAAGUACCAGGGAAUUAAAUAGACAGAUAGAUGGGUACACAGAUAGAUAGAUACACACACACACACACACACACAACCAAUCUUGGUCUUCAACAGGUGCAAAUAAUCCUGCAAUCUUACAAGAGAUAAGGAUCAGACAAGGAAAGUGUAAGUGUGACACAAGAGCAAUAGGA